rnacentral:lncRNA from 1 species
GCGGAUUCAUCACUGCUGAGCCACCACGGAAGCCCAGAGUACAUCUACUUACAUAUCUGGUACAACUUCCGGGCCAAAACAAAUGUGCCCACUUGAAGAAGGCAAGGACAUCACCCUCUAAAAAGCUGUUAUUCAACUGGAAUGUGCUUCAGGGUAAUGGCUUGUGGUGUGAUCCAUUAUUCAUCUCACCUUGAUGAAACAACUGGGAAAGCAAAACCACCACUAGACUUGGAGUCAGAAGUUCCAUGUCUGAAUCUUGGUAGGGCCAGUGGAUUGCUAAGUGACACUGAGUCUGGAUUUUCUGUUCCGUAAAAAGCGAGUGGGACCAGAUGAACUCUAAGGGUCUUCUCAGCACUAACCUUGCAUUACUCUACUCUUCAAAACCAAAUGGAAAACUGCUGUCUUCUAUAGCCCUCCACGUGUGUAGAUUAUCUAGUGUACUUUUGAAUUUCCCCUAUUUGUUUAUAGAUGCCAGGGGGCAGAUGGCAGGAAGAAGAAGGAAUAAGAGAGAAGAAAGAAGGGUGCAUGGAAAUUGUUAGAGGCAUGUGACAUGCAGGAGGUGAAGAAGCAGGGAUGUCACAUGCUGGCUGUUCAGCAAUGGCAGGUGGCCUGGGCAGGUCCAUGCUGCAAGUUAGCAAUGGUAGGCUAGUGGCGCCUUGGUGACAUGUCACAUCCAAAAAGCAGGAAUACUAACAUUUGAAACAAUCAAGAUGGACAAAGCAGAGAGUCCUAGAUUGCAGCUCUGCCCUGGAUUCAAAAACAGUUUCUCCAUUGGAAAAUCUGAUGUGCUAUUUGCUAAAUAAUUAAAGAAUAUAGGUUAUCACCCAGAGAAAACAGUCUGUCCAUGUUGGGAGUUUAAAAGGCUCUUAUGUUUUAGCAGGUAUUCUAAAUUAUACAUGAUACUGGAAGCGAGAAAUAUCACCAGUCAUAUGAAAGAACACAAAAUCCAAAUACUCAAGUAUGUUAAUUGUGGGAGAGACUAUGUCAGUUGCCUACCUCAAAAUCCAAUUUUCCAUUGCAAUGAGAGCCAGCCUGGCCUGCUUCACAAUGUCAGCACCACCAUGAGAAGCAGAGCACCAAGAAGGAAAACCAGCUCUAUAUUGUUCAUCUCUAGAAUUCUCACAUAUAAGCAAAAAAUAAACUUUUUUAUAAUCUAGGCUGCUGUUCUUUGAGGUUCUUUUGUUGUACAUAUUUAUAGUGUUAGUCACUUCAGUCAUAUCCAACUCUUUGCAACCUCAUGAACUGUAGCUUGCCGGGCUCCUGUGUCCAUGGGAUUUCCCAGGCAAGAAUACUGGAGUGAGUAGCCAUUCCCUUCUCCAGGAGACUUUCUCAACUCAGGAAUCAAACUAGG